rnacentral:rRNA from 1 species
AGAACGAACGCUGGCGGCAUGCCUAAUACAUGCAAGUCGAACGAACACUUCGGUGUUAGUGGCGCACGGGUGCGUAACGCGUGGGAAUCUGCCCUUGGGUUCGGAAUAACAGUUGGAAACGACUGCUAAUACCGGAUGAUGACGAAAGUCCAAAGAUUUAUCGCCCAGGGAUGAGCCCGCGUAGGAUUAGCUAGUUGGUGAGGUAAAGGCUCACCAAGGCGACGAUCCUUAGCUGGUCUGAGAGGAUGAUCAGCCACGACUGGGACUGAGACACGGCCCAGACUCCGUACGGGAGGCAGACGACGGUAAGGGAAUAUUGGAACAA